UACGGAGGGAGCUAGCGUUGUUCGGAAUUACUGGGCGUAAAGCGCACGUAGGCGGCUUUCUAAGUCGGGGGUGAAAUCCUGGAGCUCAACUCCAGAACUGCCUUUGAUACUGAGAGCUUGAGUCCGGGAGAGGUGAGUGGAACUGCGAGUGUAGAGGUGAAAUUCGUAGAUAUUCGCAAGAACACCAGUGGCGAAGGCGGCUCACUGGCCCGGUACUGACGCUGAGGUGCGAAAGCGUGGGAGCAA
rnacentral:rRNA from 1 species